rnacentral:rRNA from 1 species
UACGGGGGGAGCAAGCGUUGUCCGGAAUUAUUGGGCGUAAAGAGCUCGUAGGCGGUCUGUCGCGUCUGCUGUGAAAAUCCAGGGCUCAACCCUGGACCUGCAGUGGGUACGGGCAGACUAGAGUGCGGUAGGGGAGAUCGGAAUUCCUGGUGUAGCGGUGAAAUGCGUAGAUAUCGAGAGGAACACCUGCGGCGAAGGCGGGUUGCUGGGCUGACACUGACGCUGAGGCGCGAAAGCCAGGGGAGCGAACGGG